ensembl:lncRNA novel transcript
GGCAAAGUGCAGAGGAAGGAGGAGCCACUGCUAGUGGGUACGAGGUUUCUUCUUGGUACAAGGACUUCUACGUUCUGUCCUCCUGCAGCCAUCUAAAAUCAGCCAGAAAGGUUUAGGAUCCCAUUUCCUGUUCUUGCAUCGGCUGUCCAAGCUGCUGUUCCUCUCUCCGCAGUAAGAGGGUGUUUCUCUCCCUGUUCAAGAGGAGCACCAACACUUGAGGACAGUAUCAUCCCUAGACCUUGGCAAGAGAGACCACUGAGUGAGGCAUCCAUGGAACCCAAGGAAGAGGCCUACGAAGAACCUGCAGUCACCUUCUAGACCAUUCUCCCUCACCAAACUGUCCCCUCCAGAGAGCUGAGGACUGGAUCUUCCCAUGCUGACACCUCCAGUGGGAAAGAAAAUUCUAGAUUCAGCUCUGGGUGUCCAAGUCAUUAUGAAGGCAUAUUUGUCAAGGUGGAAGAAAAGGACAUAUUCUAUUUAGCAGUUUUUUAGAGGACAACUUCUCUUCACUGAGGACAACACAGAAUCCUGGAGAUAUUUUUGAUGAGUAGUAAAGAAGUAAUGCAUGACUCUGAUUUGCGGCUGCAGGAUAAAUCCGAACUAUUUCAGGGAGAUGUCAUGGAGAGCUCAUCUCUCAGCAUCAAAGUUGCCUCUCCUGACUUUUGAAUUUUAAGUGUUCUGUGUGGAAGAAAAAUGGAGACAACAAAUUUCUAUGCAUGGAUUCAAAGAAUCCUCGUAAUAUACAGACUACAUUCUCCCCAGCUUUUUAUCUCUAUAUAUUCUUUUUGUUGAGUUUCAACCACAUAGGGUUGAAAUUCACCUUCCCACAUUACAUUUUUCAUCAAUAGUUGAAGACCUAUGUAUGUAAAUAUCAGGAACUAUCAGAACUCCCUGCAACAGGAAACCUGACCCCCAACUCCCCCGAAAUGCAUCAUGAUAAACAGUCACUUGCCAAAAUAACAAAUCAGCUUCCUGGAACAUGCUUGCUCAAAACCAGGAGAGGAGCUUAGAGACGUCAGCUUGACUUCUGCCUCGUACGCAGGAAGGGUGACCUUCAAAGAUCAAACAUCGUCCCAAAUCUCCCUUCAUCUUGUAGUACUCCUGCUUGUCGUAGCUCCUGUUACCAUCAGAGACAGAAUGUGCUAUAACCUUCUGGAAACUUCUACUAUUUUCCUGCAACCUGACUACCCCUUAGGUGAGGGAGUCCAGAAUGCUGGCUUGAAAUGGGAGAGAGAAAGAACUGCCACAUAAUUUGCAAGAUCUUUUUUGAAAAAGAAAAGGUAUUAAGAAUUCCAGGACAGCAUUAGGAAUGUAUUAAACCAGAAUAAGGAACAGCGGAGCUUCCCCCUAAGACCCUGGUGUGUUUCUGCAUCAGGAAACCUUCUCUCCUGCAAUGUGUCGUUUAAGAUUGAACAACAUGGUGCCUUUGCCAGAAGUUAACAGGAAACCCAAAAGGAGAUGAGCCAGACUGGUUAGUUCAGAAGAGAAUCGUUGGGGAAGACAAUGGGAGCUGCUGUUUGAAUGUGGCCCUGAGAUUAUUUGUGCUUUUCAAUCCCAUGUUACCAAAACACAUUUCAAGCUGGCCUAUAAAUCACACCUUGUGCAUAAUUUUAAGUGGAUAAAUAUUUGUCGCCCAAGUGAAUGAUGCUUCCAGCUUUCAAAAAA